ACUGCCCUUAGAGGCAUUGUAAGUGUGGCUGCUGUAUCACGUGUGUGUCAGUAGGUGGCAGAAAGGAGAGAGGCUAUGUCUAUGCUCCAUGUUCUGACCUGUGAACAUCUGAAAGAUUAGUUGCCUAACAUU